rnacentral:lncRNA from 1 species
GGCUCUCAAAUUAGCCUGGCGCAUUUCCUCUUGUCCCCUAGCCAAAGCUUGUAGGGCUUCAGCAAGCUGACCCAUCUGAGCCUUCAUAGUGGUCAUAUCUUCCCUCAUAACAACUUGGUUCUGCUCCAACUGAUCCAUGAGCGAUCUUUGGUUUCUUCGAGUGUUGUGGGAAUGUCGGGAAGUACGCUUGACUGUGGAUGAUUCUGGACAAAAGGGCUAAAUGGUAAGUUUUAUGACUUUU